rnacentral:rRNA from 1 species
UACGGAGGGGGCUAGCGUUGUUCGGAAUUACUGGGCGUAAAGCGCGCGUAGGCGGACCUGCAAGUCGGGGGUGAAAGCCCGAGGCUCAACCUCGGAACUGCCUUCGAUACUGCGGGUCUCGAGUCCGGGAGAGGUGAGUGGAAUUCCUAGUGUAGAGGUGAAAUUCGUAGAUAUUAGGAAGAACACCAGUGGCGAAGGCGGCUCACUGGCCCGGUACUGAC